rnacentral:rRNA from 1 species
CCUACGGGAGGCAGCAGUGGGGAAUAUUGCACAAUGGGGGAAACCCUGAUGCAGCGACGCCGCGUGAGUGAAGAAGUAUUUCGGUAUGUAAAGCUCUAUCAGCAGGGAAGAAAAUGACGGUACCUGAUUAAGAAGCCCCGGCUAACUACGUGCCAGCAGCCGCGGUAAUACGGGGGGGGCCAGCGUUAUCCGGAUUUACUGGGUGUAAAGGGGGCGUAGGCGGCAGCACAAGUCUGGAGUGAAAUUCCGGGGCUUAACCCCGGAAGUGCUUUGGAAACUGUGCAGCUAGAGUGCAGGAGAGGUAGGUGGAAUUCCUGGUGUAGCGGUGAAAUGCGUAGAUAUUAGGAGGAACACCAGUGGCGAAGGCGGCUUACUGGACUGUAACUGACGUUGAGGCUCGAAAGCGUGGGGAGCAAACAGGAUUAGAUACCCCUGUAGUC